UAUGACCACCAUGCCGCCCUGAACGUACAGGAUCACAUUUGAUUUCAAAAGCUACGCAGGGUUGGGCCGGGUUAUUUCUUAGAUGAGAGACAACCUGAGAUCUCCAGAUAAAAACAAGGAGAAAUCAUUC
rnacentral:rRNA from 1 species